GACGAACGCUGGCGGCGUGCUUAACACAUGCAAGUCGAACGGAAAGGCCCUGUCGUUGUUGGACGCUCGAGUGGCGAAUGGGUGAGUAACACGUGAGUAACCUGCCCUUGACUUUGGGAUAUCUUCAGGAAACUGGGGCUAAUACCGGAUAGGAGCUCUUGCUGCAUGGUGGGGGUUGGAAAGUUUCGGCGGUUGGGGAUGGACUCGCGGCUUAUCAGCUUGUUGGUGGGGGAGUGGCUUACCAAGGCUUUGACGGGUAGCCGGCCUGAGAGGGUGACCGGCCACAUUGGGACUGAGAUACGGCCCGGACUCCAACGGGAGGCAGCAGUGGGGAAUAUUGCACAAGGGGCGGAAGCCUGAUGCAGCAACGCCGCGUGCGGGAUGACGGCCUUCGGGUUGUAACCCGCUUUCGCCUGUGACGAAGCGUUAGUGACGGUAAUGGGUAAAGAAGCACCGGCUAACUACGUG
rnacentral:rRNA from 1 species